AUGCACCUCACAGAGCUGGAAGAAAAGAACGUGGAACUGAAUAAUCAGCUGUCACAGUUUCAAUCUGCUCUUCAGCAGGCCGAACUGGUCUCUUCAAGCCGUGCAGGAAAACUUCAGGAGCUCAGCACCCAGAUCCAGGCCCUGCAGGAUGCAGUGACAGAGAAGGCAGCUCAGCAGGACACUCAAGAGAAGGAGCUGCUGCAGGAGCUGGAAAAGUCCCGAGUAAGAGAACAGAGCUUGAGGGACGCUAUGAAUGUGCUGCAGGUUGAGAUGUCUGGGCUGCGUCUGAGGCUCCAGAGCUCUGAGGAAAGAGCAGAGGCCAUGGCCACACACUGUGAGGCCAUGGAGAUGGAGCUGAGGAUGGCUCAGGCUGACAACAACCAAAUCAAGGCCUGCAAUCAGGAGCUGCAGACACUGUUGGAGGAAACUCAGCAAGCAUUAUGGAGGGCAGAACACCAGAAAAUCUUUCUAAGAACGGGCCUGAAGGAAGAGGCCACUGCCCUGAAGAAAGAGGCUGUGACUGUUCGUCAGGAGAUGGAAUAUCUUCGGAGGAAACUGGAGAGCCAGGAGAAGGAAAGGAAGGAUGUGCUGCAUGAACGGGAAUUGUGCCAACAGAAGCUGAGGGGUCUGGAAAAGAAGAUGGAAACGGGUGCACCUGACACGAAGAGUCGGAAGAAGAUAAUCCAGGAAUUGGAAGUGGAGGGGGAAGAUAUGCAAGAAGAGUUGGACCAUGGGACUGCUGCUGCCUUGAAGACGAGUGGAAGAGAAGAAAUCAAAGGGACAGAGAUUGGACAGCUUCUGACUUCUGCACUGAGGAAGAGCGAAAUGGCCAAAGGGACAUUGAAGAAAAAGAUAGUGAUGCUGCAGAAAAAAUCUCCUGACAACUGCAUGAGCCAGUCUCAUGUCCAGGUGCUGCAGGAAGAGCAGAAUGAGAAGAGGGCUUUAACAGAGACACUGCUCCAAACUCAGGGAGAGCUCAGCCAAGCGUGCCAGCAGGUCCAGCAGCUCAGGCAGGAGGUGAAAGAGCAGCAAGAGAAGGAACGGACCAUCAAGGCAAAGCUGCAAGCUGAGCUGCAGGAAGCUCACAAUGAAAUGCUGGCAGUGCAGAGGAGGCACAAGGAAGACCUUCAGGGCAUCAGAGAGGAGAUGAAUGUCCUCCUCAAACAGAGGGAUGCUCUACAAAAGCAGGUGGAUGAGUUGACAUCUCAGCUGGCAGCCUCCCGAGAGUUCCAGGAAAGCACAGUCCAGAGAGCCCAGCAAGAUGUGAGCAAGGCCCAGGAACAGUUGCAGCAGAAGAUGUUGGAGACUGAGCACAUCCAAAAGAGGCUGGAGGAGGCAGAACAAGAGAAGAAGGAGCUCCAAGUGCUGCUACAGAUAAUGGAGAAGGAAUCGAAACAAUGGGAAGAAGUGGCACGCCAAAAUUCAGAACUGCAAGCUUUCAUGCAGCUCCUAGACAGUGAAAAUGACAGGCUGAUUCUGUCUCUGGAGGAAAAGAAUGUGUGCCUCAGAUCACUGGAAGAAAAGAACCAGGCGCUGAAGGAUCAGCUGUCUCAGUUUCAUUCUGCUCUUCAGCAGGCCAAACUGGUCUCUUCAAUUUGUGCCAGGAAAACUGCAGAAGCUCAACACCCAGAUCCAGGCCCUGCAGGAUGCAGUGACAGAGAAGGCAGCUCAGCAGGACACUCAAGAGAAGGAGCUGCUGCAGGAGCUGGAAAAGUCCCAAGCAGGAGAACAGAGCUUGAGGGACGCUGUGCAUGUGCUGCAGGUUGA
ensembl:lncRNA